rnacentral:lncRNA from 1 species
CUACUUAUUGACGAAUCCGUGGCGUUCAAAGGUAGUCCGAUUAUAUCAAACAAAGUCUCUGACCGAACAAAACAGUAUAUCCCAUUUUCAAAUAAAUUCUUCAGGAUGCUAGUCAUUUUGUCUUUUUGGUCAACAUUAAAUCGUUAAUAGAAUAAGUUAUUGUCAGUAAUAAAAUAAUGUAAUAAUGUUGAAUAUUCAACACAGUAUAUAAGUCUCUUU